UCGCGGAUCAGAAUGCCGCGGUGAAUACGUUCCCGGGUCUUGUACACACCGCCCGUCACACCAUGGGAGUCGGGAAUGCCCGAAGUCAGUGACCCAACCCAAGGGAGGGAGCUGCCGAAGGCAGGCCUGGUGACUGGGGUGAAGUCGUAACAAGGUAGC
rnacentral:rRNA from 1 species